rnacentral:rRNA from 1 species
CUGGCGGCGUGCUUAACACAUGCAAGUCGAACGGAAAGGCCCUGCUUGCAGGGUACUCGAGUGGCGAACGGGUGAGUAACACGUGGGUGAUCUGCCCUGCACUUCGGGAUAAGCUUGGGAAACUGGGUCUAAUACCGGAUAGGAGCCAUCUUUAGUGUGGUGGUUGGAAAGUUUUUUCGGUGUAGGAUGAGCUCGCGGCCUAUCAGCUUGUUGGUGGGGUAAUGGCCUACCAAGGCGGCGACGGGUAACCGGCCUGAGAGGGUGUACGGCCACAUUGGGACUGAGAUACGGCCCAGACUCCUACGGGAGGCAGCAGUGGGGAAUAUUGCACAAUGGGCGCAAGCCUGAUGCAGCGACGCCGCGUGGGGGAUGAAGGCCUUCGGGUUGUAAACUCCUUUCGCUAGGGACGAAGCUUUGUGUGACGGUACCUAGAUAAGAAGCACCGGCUAACUACGUGCCAGCAGCCGCGGUAAUACGUAGGGUGCGAGCGUUGUCCGGAAUUACUGGGCGUAAAGAGCUCGUAGGUGGUUUGUCGCGUCGUCUGUGAAAUUCUGGGGCUUAACUCCGGGCGUGCAGGCGAUACGGGCAUAACUUGAGUGCUGUAGGGGUAACUGGAAUUCCUGGUGUAGCGGUGAAAUGCGCAGAUAUCAGGAGGAACACCGAUGGCGAAGGCAGGUUACUGGGCAGUUACUGACGCUGAGGAGCGAAAGCAUGGGUAGCGAACAGGA